rnacentral:rRNA from 1 species
CGAGUGGCGAACGGGUGAGUAAUACAUCGGAACGUGUCCGCUCGUGGGGGGACAACCAACCGAAAGGUUGGCUAAUACCGCAUGAGUUCUACGGAAGAAAGAGGGGGACCCGCAAGGGCCUCUCGCGAGCGGAGCGGCCGAUGACUGAUUAGCCGGUUGGUGAGGUAACGGCUCACCAAAGCAACGAUCAGUAGCUGGUCUGAGAGGACGACCAGCCACACUGGGACUGAGACACGGCCCAGACUCCUACGGGAGGCAGCAG